rnacentral:rRNA from 1 species
AUUGAACGCUGGCGGAAUGCUUUACACAUGCAAGUCGAGCGGCAGCGCGGGGGCAACCCUGGCGGCGAGCGGCGAACGGGUGAGUAACAUAUCGGAACGUACCCCGUCGUGGGGGAUAACACAGCGAAAGCUGUGCUAAUACCGCAUACGACCUGAGGGUGAAAGCGGGGGAUCGCAAGACCUCGCGCGAUGGGAGCGGCCGAUAUCGGAUUAGCUUGUUGGUGAGGUAAAGGCUCACCAAGGCGACGAUCCGUAGCUGGUCUGAGAGGACGACCAGCCACACUGGAACUGAGACACGGUCCAGACUCCUACGGGAGGCAGCAGUGGGGAGUUUUGGACAAUGGGGGGCAACCCUGAUCCAGCCAUUCCGCGUGAGUGAAGAAGGCCUUCGGGUUGUUAAAGGACUCUUUCUAGCAGGAACGAAACGGUAGGG